rnacentral:rRNA from 1 species
UAGGGAAUAUUGGUAAUGGGCGAAAGCCUGAACCAGCAACGCCGCGUGUGCGAAGAAGGCCUUCGGGUUGUAAAGCACUUUUUAAGGGGAUGAGGAAGGACAGUACCCUUAGAAUAAGCCUCGGCUAACUACGUGCCAGCAGCCGCGGUAACACGUAGGAGGCAAGCGUUAUUCGGAUUUACUGGGCGUAAAGCGCGUGCAGGCGGUUUGGUAAGUUGGAUGUGAAAGCUCCCGGCCUAACUGGGAGAGGUCGUUCAAUACUACCAGACUAGAGGAUGGGAGAGGGAGGUGGAAUUCCGGGUGUAGUGGUGAAAUGCGUAGAUAUCCGGAGGAACACCAGUGGCGAAAGCGGCCUCCUGGCCCAUUUCUGACGCUCAGACGCGAAAGCUAGGG